GACGAACGCUGGCGGCGUGCUUAACACAUGCAAGUCGAGCGGAGCGGCGAACGGGUGAGUAACGCGUGAGUAACUGCCCCCCUCUCUGUGAUAACAGUUGGAAACGGCUGCUACUACCGGAUCGUGGGGGCUGACUCGCGUCCUAUCAGCUUGGUGGUGGGGUAGUGGCCUACCAAGGCGACGACGGGUAGCCGGCCUGAGAGGGCGACCGGCCACCUUGGGCUGAGAUACGUCCCAAAAUCCUACGGGAGGCAGCAGUGGGGAAUAUUGCACAAGGGUGGAAACCCUGAGGCAGCAACGCGCGUGCGGUAUGACGGCCUUCGGGUUGUAAACCGCGUUCAGCCAUGACGCGGUAGUGGCAGAAGAAGCACCGGCUAACUACGUGCCAGCAGCCGCGGUAAUUC
rnacentral:rRNA from 1 species